rnacentral:lncRNA from 1 species
AUAGAUGGAGUUGCACUCCCCUGAAGGAGCACGUACACUGUUUGGUGCUUCUGGAUCCCAGGUAUCAUACCUCUUCCAUGUUAUAUGUGAUGCUAAAUAAAUCCAAAUUUGGGUGAUUUUAAUCAACUGAAAGAAUUUUCUAGGCAAAUCGGAGAAUUUAACAAUGGGUAAUGUGGCUUUGGGAGAAAAUGCCCAUUGCUCUUGAAAACUGAGACCACCCUGAUGUUUCAUGAAUCCAUCAAGCAGUAAUUGGGGGAGUUCAUUGUUUCUAUAAUGUUGAAAAUGGAGCCAGACAUGCUCUAAAAAGCAAAUUAAAUAGUAUAAAUUGGAUUUGGUUUCUUCCUUUCCUUUUCUUUCAUCACACAAGUUUUAGAGGAAGGAAUUAACUCAGAAGGGUAAGUUAAUGACCUAAAGGAAAGAAAAAGAUCUGUGCAGACUUACUCUCUAAAGGGCCCCAUGAUGCUUUUCCAUCUAAAAGGCCCACACUCAAAAGGGGGGGGAGUGACUUUCUGUAUCUAUAGUAUUACUGUAUGGCUUCUCCUCAAAAAACUCCUAAGUCACAUGUCCAGAGCUUCAAGCAUCCAAACAAGAACGGAGAAAUUUGCUCCCUCUUGAGUGAAGUCACUCCCGUGUUUAGGCUGGAAAGCAACCCUUGUUUUUUUCAGAGAGGUAGUGAUUUAAUCAAGGCAUUGUUGGAGAGAACUUGUUUCUGUUUUUUUACUGACCGAAAGGCUUUUAGCACUUUUGAGAUUUGUCAUUCUAUUCAAAGCAACACACUCUAAUGACAGCUUCAACCUGAGCUGUACACUGCCUGCCAAGAAGUGUCUUUCUUCAUUUGAUACUUUACACUGACAUAUUGCACCUUGGAGUGUCUGCUUUGCUCCCCAAAUGGUGAGGGAAAUUCAAAGGUAUUAUAUAAAGUAAUAGAGACAUCCUCAUGUGGGACCACUCAGCCUAGAACUCCGGAUAAAUAAUGAAUACAAUAGAGUCAAAGCCAAUUACUUAGUCAUUAUCACCUUGCCAUUGCAAAGGUGCUUUCCUUCAGCUUCAUGUCUCAAAGUUUGGUGUGUGGCUUUUCUGACUUCUUCUAUGUACAGUGACAUGCAAAGUUGGAGGCAAAGCCUAAGCAGUGCUGUUGUUGAGUAGUCCCAGUUGCAUCUCCUUUUAUCUGAGCCCAGUUUAUUGAAACCAAUGGCAGCUUUUCAGGUCUCCUGAUGGAACCCAUUUGCCUGUACUUUCCCUAGCCUUUUCAUCUUCCAUACUAUACACACUAUAUGUUAGCCAGACCUAAGCAUUAAUUUUGGACAUAGGAAGCUGUCUUCCCAGGUUUUCAGAUAAGCCCCGCCUGCCCACCCCCCCAUAUCUGGAGGUGGCCAAGGACUGAAGCAGGGAUAAUCUGCCCCCCCCAAAGAUUCACACAAUGCUUUUAAUGCCACUGAUGUUAAGCUGCUCUGCAAAGGUAGCCAUAUGUGACUGUGCCUUUUUCCAGUGUAGCCAGGUGGCAGUUAGGCAUAGUAGUAUCUGGAUGCAUUAAUAAGAGACUUUCUCCCUUGCAUAAAUCCAGGCAUGCCAGAAGAGAUGUUAUGUACUGACUGACAGCUGGAACUGUCUAUCUCCCAGAAACCAGGCAUUGAUAAUCAUUAAGACAACCCCAUUAAGUUCUGACAUAAUGUCAGCAAUAUAAUAUUAGCUCUGGUCAAGUGAUGCAUAGGAAGCUGCAAAUCAUAAAGGGCUUCUGUUUUUAAAGGUUUUAAAACCAGAAAAUGUCUUGGAAGUACUGGGAAUUAAAUGUGGUACAUAUUGUUUAAAUACUUUCUUGUGUUUUUCACUUGACCAACAAUGUUUUGGGGUGUAGACAGACUUUAUAUCAAGCAGCUGCUAAAUUUGUAACAGCAUAUAGCUCUAACAGUGUGUGUGACAUUCAGUUGUGUGACAUUGCAGCUUUUCAUGUUUUCCCACCCCUAUGCUUUGAAUCCAUUAUUCAGUUAUUUCUGUGAAUAUAUUUGCAAGUAAAGAAAGCAUUUGUGGAUACUGAAUGCCAUCAUCUUUGCUUGGCUUCCCAUGUGGAAAGUAAGUUGGCCACUCUCUUCCUGUAUAUUAAACUAAAACCAAACUACAUUGUCUUGUGUGAUUCAGAUGCUUGAUGUGGUUUCCUGUGGGAGCUAGAUUGCAUUGAAGGGUUGCUAAACUUUUGAACGGAGUAAGUGACAGGAUUUUGUCCAAAAGAAAAAAAAAACCUUGUAUUAUGACAUGCUGUAAUUGCCAUGUUUAGCUUACAUACACACACAGAGAGAGAGAGAGAGAGAGAGAGAGAGAGAGAGAGAGAGAGACUCGUUGUUUAAUUUCCCAAUAGUGAAUGAGAGGGAAACAAAGUCUUAUUUUUCCCCAAAAUGGAUUCAGACCCUAGCCAAACUGAGCAGCCUCUGAAGCACUUCAUACUGAGGUGGGUCAUUCUGCAAACUGAGAUCCAAACUGAAUCUUGUGGUCAGUGCACAAUCCUAGUAUAUAGAAGUCAGGUGUACUUAUACCCUGUUCAUACACAUUUUUGUCCUGGCUAGUGAAGCAUGCAGGUUUCAGACAGGAAAGAGGCAAAGGUGGGCAAAGGAAUCUUUGGCUCGAUAAGGUGUGAGGCUCCCUGGUUGCAGAUGGUUUUGCUGCCUCUCAGAUACAGGAAGAACAGGGAACGUCUCCAGGACAGCAGCUUGCAAUCAAGUAGCAGACUGGGCAGCCGCAGUUUCAUUCUACACUCUUCUACCAGAAACAAGGUCUCCAUCUGUUAUUUUCUUCUCUGCAACCCUCACACUUUGAAACAGCAUAAGAAUGCAUGGAAGUUUUCUAACCACUGGCCUUCACACAAUCCACCAUUUAUAAGCUAAUCCUCCUUAGUUAAAGAGCACAAGGCCUGGUAAAGCUUCUGUGUCCACUUCUCUUAUUCUUCAUUGUCCACACUGUCAGGGAGAAGCUGAAGAGCUAAUCAGUGUGUAAUUCAAUCGGUGUCCAGGCUAUGUCACAGUACAAUGCUUAGCCUGUAGUGCCACGGGUUAAGUCAGCCAGCUACUGUUAUCCUCGGCAGCAGGUGUGAAGACUGUCACUCGGUAUAAUUGUAUGUUACCACUUAGUUGAGUUCCAUUGCUGACGCUACUUCACUCAGCACUUAAUGAGUGUUUUUCCUGCAGACGCUGAGUUAAUUGUAAACUGCUAACUGUAAAAAGGGCUCUUCAGAUAUUAUGGCACUGCACUCAGAAUUCUUGCAUCAUAUUAAUGAGGGCAAAGAAAAUCAAAUUUGAUAGACAUUGCCAAAAGAUUUCCAUUUGCUUCCAAGUCCUCAUUUCCUGACUUCGGACCAAUAAGUCAUAACAUGUGACAGAAUUGGUGUGUGUACAGUUCUGGAAUUGAUAGUGAAGUUCACAUUGUGAUUUGGACAUUUCCAAAACCUUUGAUUUGAUCAAAUUCUGGGAAGCAGAGUGAUCAAAGAGGUAUUUCCAUUAGAACAGUCUGUUUUCCUGAUCACCUUUACAGUGUGUCAGUAUAUACAUUGUGAGAUAACUAUGACUAUUUACAGUCAAUUGUAAAGUGAAUUUACUUAGUUUCUCUAAGUAGCAACCAUCUUGCUAAUUAAAAUAUUAGACAAAAUCAUGGAGGAUAAAGCUAUCAGUAGCUAUUUAGUCAUGAUCGCUCAAGAGAAGAAGAGGAGUUUGGAUUUGAUAUCCCGCUUUAUCACUACCCGUAGGAGUCUCAAAGCGGCCAACAUUCUCCUUUCCUUUCCUCCCCCACAACAAACACUCUGUGAGGUGAGUGGGGCUGAGAGACUUCAGAGAAGUGUGACUGACCCAAGGUCACCCAGCAGCUGCAUGUGGAGGAGCGGAGACGUGAACCCGGUUCACCAGAUUACGAGUCUACCGCUCUUAACCAGUGCACCACACUAGCUGUCAAGAGGCAUGCCUCUUGAAGCCAGUCAUAAGAAUAACAAUGUGAAAGGGCUAUUACAUGCAUGUUCUUCUUGCAGAAUUCCCAUAGGCACCUGGCUGGCCUGUGUGGGGAACAGGAUGCUAGACUUAACAGGCCUUUGGUCUGAUCUAGCUGUGCCUUUCUUACGUUCUUAAACAACAAAGAGUCUUGUGGCACAUUAAAGACUAGCAAAUAUAUUCUGUCAUAAGCUCUCAUGGCCCAUAGUGUCUACUUCAUCAGAUGCAAGAAGUGCUGUCCUGAGUUGUCAAUGCAAGUGUGUGUGUGUGUGUGUGUGUGUGUGUGUGUGUGUAUUUCUUUACAUGGUUGGGGAUAGAGAACUAUAAACAGUGAGAUCUGAAGGAAAUGAAAUGUCUUAUGCUUAGAAUAGCUUUGCAUCCAUUGGUCUCUAGCAGAAAGAACAAUGGUUUUGAAACAUUGUGUCUCCAAAAUUAUCAGCACUUUUGACAAAUAAUGCUCUUCUGUAUGUAAAAAAUAAUCUAUAUCUGCAAGAAAUUGGCAAACAGGGGGAUGAUAGCAAACUUUUACAAUUUACAAAUAAAAUCUCUCCCUCAACUCUUUGUGUAAUAUGUAAUAGACAAGAGAGUGCACUGAAUAUUUGGGAUAUAUACAGUGCUGAUACACAUUGUUGUUGUUUUUUAAAAAAUAAUAUUUAUUAAUAAUUUCAGAAUUAC